AGGAGCCGUGUGAGAUAAAAGUCUCAUGCACGGUCCUGAAUGAGAGGAAGGAGUGACUCAUACCCCAUUUCCGACUCUAAC
rfam:Selaginella moellendorffii plastid, complete genome.